rnacentral:rRNA from 1 species
UACGAAGGGGGCUAGCGUUGUUCGGAAUUACUGGGCGUAAAGCGCACGUAGGCGGCGACGUAAGUUGGGUGUGAAAUCCCUCGGCCCAACCGAGGAACUGCGCCCAGUACUGCGUUGCUUGAGGAUCCAAGGGGUGCAUGGAAUUCCCGGUGGAGCGGUGAAAUGCGUUGAUAUCGGGAGGAACUCCGGCGGCGAAAGCGGUGCACUGGUGGAUUACUGACGCUGAGGUGCGAAAGCCAGGGGAGCAAACGGG